rnacentral:lncRNA from 1 species
GCUACAAUCACCACCAUGUACACAACGAGCUAAGACAGCGACUUGAUGACACCACUAGUCACAAGACAUCUUCGCACCAAUUCCUUGAAGCUCAAAGUGUUACAGCGGGGUGACGUAGCAGCUUGCAAUGGUGGUUGUGAUCCUCACGACUUCAACAGCGGGCAGACAGAGCGGCACUCUUUCUUAUGGGCAUUUGCAUAUUUGAUCAUGGAUUUCAUAUACAUUUGGGUUAUCUUAUUGCAUUGUACCAUUCUUUGUUAACCUAAAUGGCAUUUCCAUACUCAUUAACCCUGACCAUUCUUUGAAGCUAACAUUAAUUUGAUUGAGUGAGGCCUCUUAUUGAUAGCAUGUCAUG